CCCUGUGUGGUGCAAUCGGUUUGCACUUGGCUGCUAACCUAAGGGUUGGUGGUUCAAACCCACUCAUUGGUA
rnacentral:tRNA from 1 species